GUCUGGCUCAGAGAUGGAGUCACCAGGCCAUGGUGUGCGGGCACUCAGUAAAGUGGAGAUACGAUUACUAGAUCAUUAUGAUGCUGGUUUCUUCAUCAAGUGGCGGAAUAACGCAUCAGGGCAGGUGACCCACGUCACCGGGGUGAUGCACUGGUGCUCGCCGGGGCGGGCCCUGUGCCUGCGGGAGCCGCGCGGCCGGCGGGGUGUCGGGGCGCCUUGUGGGGGCCGAGCCGCGCCCGCACGUCCCUCAGAUUUCUUCCUUCUGGUGGAUCUCUUUUUUUGUCAAGAAGAUGUUGAUAACUGUCCUCUUUGGCAUUUGUUCAAAGUCUGGUUCUAACAGCGUUUGGACUGUGGUUUAAUUUUAACCAUAAAGCAUUCUUUUGGAAUAAUUACUUUUGAAUCUAGGAAGAGCCAGCUGGAUACAGGGCCAUAAACACCCCCCUGCGGGGAAUGUGCAGGCUUUAAGUUAGGUGUUUUUUUUUUUUUUUUUUUUUUUUUUUUUUUUUUUACCGCUAGCAUUUCUGGCUCUCUUUUUUCUUUCUUUUUUUAGAGACAGGGUCUGGCUCUGUUGCCCAGGCUGGAGUUCAGUGUUACAAUCACAGCUUACUGUAGCCUCAUCCUUCUGGGCUCCAGCAAUCCUCCCAUCUCAGCCUCCCGAGUAGCUUGGACCACAGGCAGGCAUCACUGGCUCAUUUUUUUAUUUUUAUUUUUUGUAGAGACAGGGUCUUGCUGUGUUGCCCAGGUUGGUCUCAAAUUCCUGGUCUCAAGUGAUCC
rnacentral:lncRNA from 1 species